ACGAGUAUAGUACAGCGGUUAGUAUAACUACCUUCCAAGUAGUGGAUGUUGGUUCGAUUCCAACUACUCGUA